GGGCCCGCACAAGCGGCGGAGCAUGCGGAUUAAUUCGAUGCAACGCGAAGAACCUUACCUGGGUUUGACAUACACCGGAAGCCUGCAGAGAUGUGGGUCUCUUUGAUACUGGUGUACAGGUGGUGCAUGGCUGUCGUCAGCUCGUGUCGUGAGAUGUUGGGUUAAGUCCCGCAACGAGCGCAACCCUCGUUCUAUGUUGCCAGCACGUAAUGGUGGGGACUCAUAGGAGACUGCCGGGGUCAACUCGGAGGAAGGUGGGGAUGACGUCAAGUCAUCAUGCCCCUUAUGUCCAGGGCUUCACGCAUGCUACAAUGGCCGGUACAAAGGGCUGCGAUCCUGUAAGGGUGAGCGAAUCCCAAAAAGCCGGUCUCAGUUCGGAUUGGGGUCUGCAACUCGACCCCAUGAAGUCGGAGUCGCUAGUAAUCGCAGAUCAGCAACGCUGCGGUGAAUACGUUCCCGGGCCUU
rnacentral:rRNA from 1 species